rnacentral:rRNA from 1 species
AACGAACGUUGGCGGCAUGGAUUAGGCAUGCAAGUCGCACGAAUCCCAUCUGGGUAACUGGGUGGGGAAAGUGGCGAAAGGGCAGUAAGGCGUGGGUAACUUGCCCCGGAGUUCGGAAUAGCCUUCCUAACGGAUGGGUAAUACCGAAUGCCGUAUCGAGGGGCAUCCUCUUGAUACGAAAGUUACGGCGCUCCGGGAGGGGCCCACGUAGUAUUAGCUAGUUGGUGAGGUAACGGCUCACCAAGGCCAAGAUGCUUAGCAGGUGUGAGGGCACGACCUGCGCCACUGGCACUGGGACACUGGCCAGACUCCUACGGGAGGCUGCAGUCGAGGAUCUUCGGCAAUGGCGGCAAGCCUGACCGAGCGAUGCCGCGUGUGCGAUGAAGGACC